UACAUGGGGUGCAAACGUUGCUCGGAAUUAUUGGGCGUAAAGCGCACGUAGGUGGUCUGUUAUGUCAGAUGUGAAAGCCCUCGGCUUAACUGAGGAAGUGCACCUGAAACUGGCAGGCUUGAGUACGAAAGAGGGUCGCGGAAUUCCCGGUGUAGAGGUGAAAUUCGUAGAUAUCGGGAAGAACACCGGUGGCGAAGGCGGCGACCUGGUCCGAUACUGACGCUGAGGCGCGAAAGCGUGGGGAGCAAACAGG
rnacentral:rRNA from 1 species